rnacentral:lncRNA from 1 species
UUGAGCCCGCUUACAAAAUCCAUAACAUGUUAGCAGGACUUAUCUAGCUGCCUCCACAGAAUAGCCAAGCAACUCUACACCCGCUUUAGCCCCCACAAAAACAAGCGGAUUGCACUACAAAUAAUUUGCCUAUUUGGAAAAUGAAAGCUUCUCUGUAGUUUGAGGUCCUAUUUUUUCUUUAAGUUGUUACAGUCUUUUCAUGGUCCUUGAGGUCUAGGUUAGGUUUUUGUUUGGGGUAAUUUUUGUAUCCUAUGGAUACUAUUUAAUCUUUAGUAUUGAGUCAGUAUUUCUCACUUAGGCCUUAGGGGAAUACUGCCUGAAGUAUGUAGGGGGCAUGCGGAAUUCAGACGUGGCUUGGAAACUGCACCAUGGGUUCACCCAAGAAACAGACCAGAGGCAACACAUUCUAUCACUAAAACGUGUUCUCAGUUACACUUCCCUUCCAAAGUCCUGUGAAUGAAACAUUGUGACCUCAAGUUUACAGAUGAAGACAAUAAACUUCAGAGAGUUCAAGUAUAUCACUCAAGCAGGAUUAUUUGUGCCCAUGAGGGAAACACGAAGGAUUGUCAGUAUUCAUUUGCUAUCAGAACUGCCUUUGAACUUCAGGGAAGCCGCCAUCUUGUUUUAGUUCACUCCUCUAAAGCACAGUGUCUGCAACAUGAAACACUAGUAAGACACAGUUAUCCAGAAAGAGCCCUAGAGAUGGAUAAGGAACCUGUUGGAAUGCUCUGAUAUUAAGAAAAAAAAAAUUAAAUUCAAAACCAAAAACAAGUCACAAGGGAGUUUUAUGCCUAUGUAAUCAGUGCAGACAGCCGUUAAGUAAAUGAAGAGGCAACUAACAAUGUCAGAAAAGAGACCGGGCGGUUCCGGCUGACACUACCCUAAUCUUCCAGGACCCAUUAAAUGGUAGUUUCAACGCAUUACCUACCAUAACAUCCUUGAAUAUCACUGAUUUUAUUUGCAGUAUCAAACAUUCCAUUUCAUGCCCCAUUAACAGUGGGAGCCUGGGCUUUUUGACGCAGCUAAACAUUUUACUAACUACCUGGACUAAGUAACCAAUUAACUUUUGGAGACAAUACGGCCAAUUAAGCGCGAAAAGAAAAUUUGGAAAACAGGCUUUUCCUAUCCGGAUGAACAGAGAUAAUUUGUGUCGAUGGAUGUUCUGUGAAGGCCUAUUGUGUCGAGCAGCGUAUUAAAACAUAAACAUGGCUCUUCCCCCAAGAAACUUACAUUUCAGUAAGGGAGCCUGGCCAAAAUGGAAAACUGCAAGGUUCAAAUCCUGGAGUGCAGAAGAAGCAUUAGGCAUUGACCCUGUGGCUUCCUAAUAGAUCCGCAAAGUGCUUUGUUCCUGGAAAUCAUCCGAUGAGUAGUUCAGUGCUAUUGUAUAUCUUGUUAGAGCAGCCGAAGUGCCACAAAAUGAACUAAAAUCUCCCUGCAGAGUUGCUGUAUCAUAUGCUGAGAACAUUCGGAACUUUCAACAAAUUCAUGUUACGAUCCUGGGUAGCCAUGGUUAAAUCUGUACAGGGGUUAAAUGAGAAAUAUGAGCCUGCUGUUAAGUGUCUUCUGAGAGUGACAAAGCUCUGGCCAUAAGGGAUGGGAGAGGAGGGAUUUCUUCUCAGCCUUCCAGCCCUUUCCAGCUGUAUCACAGACAGGAGACAUAAUGCAAAGGGGCUCAGACAUUGACUUCCUGGAUCUUUGCGGCCCCAGGCAUUGACCCCCUCUACCUGGCUUUUCCUACGCUGUAAAAUGAGGAUCCUCCUAUAUUAUGGAGUUUAUUGUGACAACUAAAUAGCUGAGAAGAAGGACAUCUCAUUUGUUUUAACUAUGCAGUUUCCUGUCUAUCUAUCUAUCUAUCCCAUCAAUCUAUCAAUCAAUCUAUCAAUCUGUCUAUCCCUAUCUAUCUAUCCAUCUAUCUAUCUAUAUCUGUCUAUAUCUAUCUAACAUUUAUCUAUCAUCUAUUCAUCUAUCAGCUAUCUUCUGUCUAUCAAUAUUUCAAUCAAUCUCUCUAUCCCUAUCAAUUAAUCUAUCUACCUACCUAUCAACUAUCCAUCUAUCUCUAUCAUCUAUCAUCUAUUCAUCUAUCAUUUAUCAUCUGUCAAUCCAUCUUCCUACUAUCUAUCAAAAGCAACACAUUUUCUUCCUGACUUUAAAAAUAUUUAAGUGGGCCGGGAGGAUGGCUCACGCCUGUAAUCCCAGCACUUUGGGAGGCCUAGGCGGGCGGAUCACGAGGUCAGGAGAUGGAGACCAUCCUGGCUAACAUGGUGAAACCCCGUCUCUACUAAAAAUACAAAAAAAAAAAAAAAUUAACCAGGCGUGGUGGAGGGCGCCUGUAGUCCCAGCUACUCGGGAGACUGAGGCAGGAGAAUGGGGAGAACCCGGGAGGCGGAGCUUGCAGUGAGCCGAGAUCAUGCCACUGCACUCCAGCCUGGGCGACAGAGCAAGACUCCAUCUCAAAAGAAACAAAAACAAAAACGUAAGUGAUACUCUGUCCACUCUUUUGAUUGAGGAGGUCUGAUUUUCAGGCUUUGGAUUUUAUUAUGUCUUCAAUAUAAUAAUUGUUCCAUGUAUCUCUCCUAAAUUGCCAUUUGAAAAACUGCUUUUCUGAAGUUUAAAGUGCACAUUUUGAUACAUCUUGACACAUAUAUACACCCAUGAAAUCAUCACCACAAUCAGGAUAGUAGAUCUAUCCAUUACCGCCAAGGUUUACUUGCACUCCUUUGAACUUUCUCCCCACUCCUCACCCCCUGCCUAUCCCCAAUCCUUAAGCAAUCACUGAUUUGCUUUCUGUCACUAUCAGUUAAUUUGAAUUUUUCAGAAAUGUAUAUAAAUAAAAUCAUUCGACGUGUAUGCUCUUUUUCUGUUCACCCGGUACAAUUUGAGAUUUAGCCAUGUUUUUGCAUGUGUCAAUAGUUUAUUUUUUUGUUGCUCAGUACUAAUCCAUUUUAUGGAUACAGAGAAAUGUAUUAAUGCAAUCCCAUAUUAAUAGGCAUUUGGGUUGUUUCCAGGUUUGGGCUGUUACAAAUAAAGCUGCUAUGAACAUUUUUGUGCAAGUCUUUUUAUGAGUAUAUUCCUUUAUUUCUUUUGGGUAAAUACCUAGAAGUGGGAUGGGUGUAUCACAUGGUACGUAAAUAUUUAAAUUUUUAAGAGAAUGCCAAACUGUUUUUCAAAGUAAUUGCACCAUUUUAUAUUCCCACCAGGAAUAUAUGAGAAUUCCAGUUCCUCUACAUACUCACAGACAUAUUGUAUGGUCAGU